rnacentral:miRNA from 1 species
GCUGAGUGGGGAGGAGAGAGGGACAGAGAGCCUGCUUCUUUAAAGGAGCAAAGCUGGAGAGGAAAGGAGCCGCUUACACAAGUGUAAGCGGCUCCUGUCCGGUUGGCUCCUUUAAAGCAAGCAGGCUCUCUGUCCCUCUCUCCUCCCCACUCAGC